GAGGGUAGAGCUCAGUGGUAGAGCACAUGCUUAGCAUACACGAGGUCCUGGGUUCAAUCCCCAGUCCCUCCA
rnacentral:tRNA from 1 species